rnacentral:rRNA from 1 species
UACGUAGGGAGCGAGCGUUGUCCGGAUUCAUUGGGCGUAAAGAGCUCGUAGGCGGCUUGGCAAGUCGGGUGUGAAAACUCCAGGCUCAACCUGGAGACGCCACCCGAUACUGCCAUGGCUAAAGUCCGGUAGGGGACCACGGAAUUCCUGGUGUAGCGGUGAAAUGCGCAGAUAUCAGGAGGAACACCGGUGGCGAAGGCGGUGGUCUGGGCCGGAACUGACGCUGAGGAGCGAAAGCGUGGGGAGCGAACAGG